AAAGACUGACGCUCAUGCACGAAAGCGUGGGGAUCAAACAGGAUUAGAUACCCUGGUAGUCCACGCUGUAAACGAUGAUCACUCGUUGUUGGCGAUAUACUGUCAGCGACUGAGCGAAAGCAUUAAGUGAUCCACCUGGGGAGUACGGCGGCAACGUUGAAACUCAAAGGAAUUGACGGGGGCCCGCACAAGCGGAGGAGCAUGUGGUUUAAUUCGAUGAUACGCGAGGAACCUUACCUGGGCUUAAAUGCAGGACGACGUUUCGUGAAAGCGGAAUUUCCUUCGGGACGUCUUGCAAGGUGCUGCAUGGUAGUCGUCAGCUCGUGCCGUGAGGUGUCGGGUUAAGUCCCAUAACGAGCGCAACCCUUAUCAUUAGUUGCCAUCAGGUCAAGCUGGGAACUCUAAUGAAACUGCCUACGCAAGUAGUGAGGAAGGUGGGGAUGACGUCAAAUCAGCACGGCCCUUAUGUCCAGGGCGACACACGUGCUACAAUGGCCAGUACAGAGGGUUGCAAA
rnacentral:rRNA from 1 species